UCAUCUUUCAUAUGCUUUUUAGUACAUCUACUUCCUCAUCGUAAGUCCAAUUUCCAUUUUAUGUUUCCAGGUUCCCAUAGAACAAACGUGUGCUUGUGGUUAAGCAUGAGAAAUGGUCAUCUGUACUGUCUCUUGGUUUAUCAAUUUGUAGAGCAAAACAUGUACCAAAGUCAAAUUCUCAAAAAAGGCUCUUCUUUGCAUCUUUCAGUGCUCAGUUAGUUUGACAUCAAAUUAUUUGUUUCUUUCGAUGCUGUAAAACUAGAAUUUUGGGUAUAUCUUUUGGUGCAUAUUUCUGUUUGUAUAAAACUUAUAUGUUACAUUUUCUUGAGGGUGCAUAUUUCUGUCUGUAUAAAACUUAUAUGUUACAUUUUCUUGAGAAAAAUGGAUGCAACAUUCACAACCGUUUUUGAUAACUAAGUAGAAUGACUAGUACUGAGAGCAAGUAUUCUACAAAUGUACAUAGUAUGAUUUUAUUAAUGGGUAAGGACAUGAAAUCAUAUCUUACUUCAAAGUUUGAGCACACGACUAUUUUGUAUCUUUACCGUUUCUAAUAGCAAGUUCUGCAAUUGAUCCGUCCAGAUGGAAGAAGGAAAUCAGUCCAACAGACGCAUCUAAAGUGAGAUGUCGUGCACCGCCCACUCGUCCUCAAGCUGCUCGUCGUGUCAUGCCGACUUGCCAUCAACCACAGUUGUGGCUCAACCCCCACGGUGCUUCCCCUCUAUUGUUGCCCUCACCAUGCUCUCAUGCGUAUUGGCGGCCUCGACGAGCUGACUAUGGUUGCUGCUCCUGCGUGUUGCAAUACGCCACCAAGCUGGUCACCAUUUAUAUUUUUGUUUUAGGUUCAUUUGUGUUCUUGUUGUCAGGUCGCCUGCAAACUUUUUAUCGUUGUUAGUUCAUGUGUGUUCUUGUUGUUAGGUCCUGUGCAAGUUUGUUAUCAGUUCAUGUGUAUUGUGUUUCUUUUGUCGCUUCAUUAGUACAGAUCCACCUACAGCCCGUUCAAUGAUGUAAGCCACACAAGUUCAGAAAGAAAUGGAUAAAACAAUGGUGGUGGUGAAAAGAAUACAGCCCAUUCAAGGAUGUAAGCCAUGCAAGUUUGAAAGGAUUCACAUCA
rnacentral:lncRNA from 1 species